GCAUCUUUCAUUGAAAUGUUACCCUGUCCUCCUGUACCCAAAACCAUAUUUUUAAGACGAUUUGGACCUAAUCCAAAAUUUUGGUAAACUACAGGGACCAUCCGUGUACUUUACUCUAACAUUAAAGAUAAUGUCAUAGAAAUUGGCCCUUUAAGUUAUUUAUUUGUUAGCAUGAUGACAAAUAAUCGUAUUGAUUGCGUCAUUCUCACCAUUCAACACAAUAGCCUCACCACCG
rnacentral:lncRNA from 1 species